rnacentral:rRNA from 1 species
GGCGAGCGAGCGGGAAGAGNUCNAAUUUAUAAUCUGGCACCUUCGGUGUCCGAGUUGUAAUCUCUAGAAGUGUUUUCCGCGUUGGACCGCACACAAGUCUGUUGGAAUACAGCGGCAUAGUGGUGAAACCCCCGUAUAUGGUGCGGACGCCCAGCGCUUUGUGAUACACUUUCAAUGAGUCGAGUUGUUUGGGAAUGCAGCUCAAAUUGGGUGGUAAAUUCCAUCUAAAGCUAAAUAUUGGCGAGAGACCGAUAGCGAACAAGUACCGUGAGGGAAAGAUGAAAAGCACUUUGGAAAGAGAGUUAACAGUACGUGAAAUUGUUGGAAGGGAAACGCUUGAAGUCAGACUUGCUUGCCGGAGCUUGCUUCGGUUUGCAGGCCAGCAUCAGUUUUCCGGGGUGGAUAAUGACGGUUUGAAGGUAGCAGUCUCGGCUGUGUUAUAGCUUUCCGUUGGAUACAUCCUGGGGGACUGAGGAACGCAGCGUGCUUUUUGCGAAAGACUCGUCUUUUUCACGCUUAGGAUGCUGGUGGAAUGGCUUUAAACGACCCGUCUUGAAACACGG